rnacentral:rRNA from 1 species
GAUGAACGCUGGCGGUAUGCCUAACACAUGCAAGUCGAACGGGACUCUUCGGAGUUUAGUGGCGGACGGGUGAGUAACGCGUGAGAAUCUGCCUUCAGGAUGGGGACAACAGUUGGAAACGACUGCUAAUACCCGAUAUGCAGCGAUGUGAAAGAUUUAUCGCCUGGAGAUGAGCUCGCGUCAGAUUAGCUAGUUGGUGUGGUAAAGGCGCACCAAGGCGACGAUCUGUAGCUGGUCUGAGAGGAUGAGCAGCCACACUGGGACUGAGACACGGCCCAGACUCCUACGGGAGGCAGCAGUGGGGAAUUUUCCGCAAUGGGCGCAAGCCUGACGGAGCAAUACCGCGUGAGGGAGGAAGGCUCUUGGGUCGUAAACCUCUUUUCUCAGGGAAGAACACAAUGACGGUACCUGAGGAAUAAGCAUCGGCUAACUCUGUGCCAGCAGCCGCGGUAAUACAGAGGAUGCAAGCGUUAUCCGGAAUGAUUGGGCGUAAAGCGUCCGUAGGUGGUUUUGUAAGUCUGUGGUUAAAGCGUGGAGCUUAACUCCAUAACGGCCAUGGAAACUACAAGACUUGAGUGAAGUAGGGGUAGAGGGAAUUCCCAGUGUAGCGGUGAAAUGCGUAGAGAUUGGGAAGAACACCGGUGGCGAAAGCGCUCUACUGGACUUAUACUGACACUGAGGGACGAAAGCUAGGGGAGCGAAAGGGAUUAGAUACCCCUGUAGUCCUAGCCGUAAACGAUGGAUACUAGGUGUU